UAAUGCUCUUUGGCCUGGAUUAAACUGCA
rnacentral:piRNA from 1 species